GUCAGUUAAGUGGUCCGAGUACUUCUCUGCGGAGAACAGGGCGGACUACCGCAGGCCAUCAUUCAAAUCUGCACCGGUUACCCCGUGCUGCAGCCGAAGGCAUGAGGACGGCUGUAACGCCAAGCCCUGUCUCAAAUAAAAUUUCUGUUUGGUUUAGGCCAUGGGACAUGGAUACGGAGUAAUCUAAGGGUAUGGGUCCUUUAGUCAUCGUCGGGACGCCGAUAAAAAAAAAUAGGGGGUAGAAUGUGGCAGGGUAAAUAUUUGUUUUGAAAUGUGCUUCGUUGGGGGGUGUGGCUAUCAGAUUAAUAUGGGGAACGCAGUCUAUUUAAGGACCCUUAUUUUGACUAGUGGUGUUGUGUUUGUGGUGUCUGGGUCCUCUGCAACCUGGCGUGUCCCUUUUCGUUCCUGAUCCCUGUUAAGUUUAAUUCUAGUGGAGGUGACGGCAUGGACGUGUGGGCUAUUCUCGGCGGAGCGCGCUUUUAGUAUCAGCGGCGCUAGCGGGAUCAAAAGGCCGGCCGGUAGAUUGAGCUGCGGCAUCGGCGGUGAGUACUCAUGCAGCUUCGUGCGGGCGAUUUGUCUAAACCAAGUAAGUAUAC